UAGGAUCGACCCUCAACGUGGGACUGCUAGCUACUAUAGCUGGUUUUACAAGGCUUAACUGCGGCGACGACGGCCCUCCGAACGAGAUCCAUCGAGUCUUAUCAUGGUUCGCCGACAACUCGCGCGCUCCGUCUCACGUCGCGGGCUUCGGAGGCAUGCCUAUGGUGACCUCGCCGAUGGGGACAGCCUCGAACUGCUUCGCCCGUUCGCUCGGUGCGGACUCCACGUCCUCGCCGGGCAGCUCCCCGGUCGCGGGCAUCCAUUUGUACACGCUGCUCUUGUUCUUCCCCUCCGCGGGGGUCCACCUGCGAGGCGCGCGGGAGGAGGAGGAGGAGGAGGGUGGGGGUCGCGGUGAGCCGAGAUUUCGGGCACCCGCGCGGUUCAGAUUCGCGAACGGGCGGGCGGGCGGUGUGCUCCGGACGCGCGGUUGGGAUUGGACGACUCACUUCUUCUCCCAGUGCCUGACGCGCCCAUCCAGGAUCUGCGCCUGCGAGCGGGCGGCCUCGCGCUGGCCGCGCGUCGACAUCGUUCACGCGCGCUCGCCGGAGUGACGAAGAAACCUAAAAAGCACAGCUGUGGCUCGCUCGACGUUGUGUAACAAUUUCGCGACGCGAACCCGCCUCCGGCGCAAAGCGCGAGG
rnacentral:lncRNA from 1 species